AGUGCUACUAGCUUUAUAUAUAGUGCCCUCUAUCUUCUAGUUUUACAAUCUCAACACAAAGCCAAGGGCGACCACUUGUGUUGGAUGACCAUGGCAAAGUAUGCACAUAUGCCUUUCAUCCUUAUGGUCCUUGUUCUACGCACCAGCUUCCAAGCCCAAGGUAUGAAACACACCUCUGGACUCUGGUCACUAAAUUUAGGUAUACCUACACAAAAUUGUUAUAGGAAGUUCACUAACACGAUGCUGAAACAAAUAUAACAAUCAUCCAUUGCAUGAUGAUAUAUUUUGUGAAUAUGCUCUCACAUGAAACAUAAUAAAAAUUUAUUGUCUAUCUUUUUUAUGGAUGAUCUCAUAGAACUGUUGCUAAAGUUUUUCCCUAAUCAUAAAUAAAUACUUGAUAUGUAGGACAACUAGGACCGACGGAGACACACAACAUCACCGAGUACAUUCCAUUGGAGUUCACAAAGACUUUUUUCCAACCCCACGGAAUACAUCCCUCUGAUACAUCGAUUGCAUUUAAAAGGUGUAGGCUGUGCCCCUGCUGCCCAAAGGAUCCCAAGAAACCAUGU
rnacentral:lncRNA from 1 species